rnacentral:rRNA from 1 species
GUGAACGCUGGCGGUAGGCCUAACACAUGCAAGUCGAACGGCAGCACAGUAAGAGCUUGCUCUUACGGGUGGCGAGUGGCGGACGGGUGAGGAAUACAUCGGAAUCUACUUUUUCGUGGGGGAUAACGUAGGGAAACUAACGCUAAUACCGCAUACGACCUACGGGUGAAAGCAGGGGAUCUUCGGACCUUGCGCGAUUGAAUGGGCCGAUGUCGGAUUAGCUAGUUGGCGGGGUAAAGGCCCACCAAGGCGACGAUCCGUAGCUGGUCUGAGAGGAUGAUCAGCCACACUGGAACUGAGACACGGUCCAGACUCCUACGGGAGGCAGCAGUGGGGAAUAUUGGACAAUGGGCGCAAGCCUGAUCCAGCCAUACCGCGUGGGUGAAGAAGGCCUUCGGGUUGUAAAGCCCUUUUGUUGGGAAAGAAAAGCAGCAGGUUAAUACCCCGCUGUUCUGACGGUACCCAAAGAAUAAGCACCGGCUAACUUCGUG